AUUGAACGCUGGCGGCAGGCCUAACACAUGCAAGUCGAACGAGUGGCGGACGGGUGAGUAAUGUCUGGGAAACUGCCCGAUGGAGGGGGAUAACUACUGGAAACGGUAGCUAAUACCGGAUAUCAUUCGAUGGAGCCGCGUGGCAUUAGCUAGUUGGUAAGGUAACGGCUUACCAAGGCAACGAUGCAUAGCCGACCUGAGAGGGUGAUCAGCCACACUGGAACUGAGAAACGGUCCAGACUCCUACGGGAGGCAGCAGUGGGGAAUAUUGCACAAUGGGCGCAAGCCUGAUGCAGCCAUGCCGCGUGUAUGAAGAAGGCCUUCGGGUUGUAAAGUACUUUCAGCGGGGAGGCGUUACUCGCAGAAGAAGCACCGGCUAACUCCGUGCCAGCAGCCGCGGUAAUUC
rnacentral:rRNA from 1 species